UAAGGUAGCUUAAUGGAUAAAGCACCAAUCUUGGAGUCAGGAAGACCUGAAUUCAAAUUCAGCCUUA
rnacentral:tRNA from 1 species